GACGAACGCUGGCGGCGUGCCUAAUACAUGCAAGUCGAACGCAGUGGGGACGGGUGAGUAACACGUGGGUAACCUCCCAUCAGAGGGGAUAACACUUGGAAACAGGUGCUAAACCGAUACUGAUGGAUGGACCCGCGGUGCAUUAGCUAGUUGGUGAGGUAACGGCUCACCAGGGCCACGAUGCAUAGCCGACCGGGAAGGUUGAGCGGCCACCCUGGGAAUUAGGAACGGCCACGACUCCUACGGGAGUCAGCAGUAGGGAAUCUUCGGCAAUGGACUGAAGUCUGACCUAGCAACGCCGCGUGAGUGAAGAAGGUUUUCUGAUCGUAAAGCUCUGUUGUUAGAGAAGCGGGAACUAACCAGAAAGGGACGGCGAACUACGUGCCAGCAGCCGCGGUAAUAC
rnacentral:rRNA from 1 species